UAUACAGAGAUGCCAACCGUUACGGAUUCGCCGUAUUUGUUCCGAUUUUAUUCCUCCAAUUACGGUGUUACGGCAACAAUAAAAAGGUUACGGAAAAAACAACUACAAUACAUGUGUAUUGCUUUGCUGUGCAUGUGUAUAUAUGCGUGUAUUGUGUAUUGUGCAUGUAUAUGCGUGUAUUGUGUAUACAUGUAUCGUGCAUGCAGCGUGUGUGUGGCCAACGGUAAACCAACGGGAGUUUCUCUUCUAUAAUUUAUAAACGCGCGCACUGCCUACUACGUUCAUUGAGUUAUGCUUUUAUCAAGGCUUUCUGAUUAGAAUUAUCGAUAUCCUGGCCAAUCAAUGCGAGCGACAAGUUCCGAACACACGCACAUAGACAAGCACAAAUCAGCGGCACGAAUCGCGGUAUAAUAGCGACUGGUAAAUACGACUGUAAAGAUGAUGACGUCAUCCAAGAUGGCAACUUACGAUGACCAACGAAGGAAUCGAGGAUGACUAAGUUUUGAUCAUCAUUUGAAAGGAAUUAGCGGUAACUGCGGUCUAAGCGUUCUAUGAGAAACACACAACUAACUACCGUCAGUUUUUCAAACCUAAUUGACUUCAAAGUCAUCGAUCACAACAAG